UACGUAGGGGGCUAGCGUUGUCCGGAAUCAUUGGGCGUAAAGCGCGUGUAGGCGGUCCGGUAAGUCCGCUGUGAAAGUCGGGGGCUCAACCCUCGGAUGCCGGUGGAUACUGUCGGGCUUGAGUACGGAAGAGGCGAGUGGAAUUCCUGGUGUAGCGGUGAAAUGCGCAGAGUAUCAGGAAGAACACCAAUGCGAAAGCAGCUCUCGUGGGACGGUCACUGACGCUGAGACGCGAAAGCGUUGGGGAGCGAACAGG
rnacentral:rRNA from 1 species